CUGAGAGGUUGGUUCUUUGGAACAGAAGCAAAAAUGGGAGACAUAGGCUGUUCCAUUUUACACCCGAAGUGAACUUUUCCCCUGUACUAACCAAACCCAACUCUUAACUCCUAGGGUCUGCCAGCAAGUUGCUGCGUGUCAGAGGGAUGAGAAACACCACGUAGUAGCUACCUUAGUGAGUGUCAAGAUCCUGGUGAUGUUGCUGCAAGCCUGCUCCAAAGAACUGCACAGCUGUUCCAAAUAAAGAAAAAACCUUCUCAAGAGUUUUUAUUGCAGUUUUUUGAAUUAAACAUUCAUUUUAACUUGCUAGUCUGUGCUCUACUGAUAAUCCCAGAAUUACAAACAGCCUCCACCUGCGUCCAUGGGUUUCACAAACUGGAUCUGGUUAAUGAUUUGCUGCUGCAGUACAUGCAACUACACUGGACUGAAAGAAAUGAGUGAAAAGAAGUGUAGAGUUAAUUAACAAAGGAGCAGAUUUAGAGGAGGAUGCAUAAAUGAAGAGGCUCUGAGCUGGGGUUCCUCCUGGAGCAGAGAAUGCUCCAGGGCAAUCUUGUUGGAGCUUUAAGCAGGACCUUUAAAGGUCUCUUCCCCACUCUUACCUAUCCUUGACUGGCUGGUGGUGCAUUUUAACCAGGAUGAGCAUUAAUGAAAAGCCCUUGGUACUGCAACUGUUAAAAACUAAAUUUAUGGCAAAAGUUGAGCUUUGAAUUUGACCUAAUUGAUAUGUGCUUAGCUCAGAAAAAGGGAUAGAAGAUCUCUUUGGAAGAAGUAAAUUUUUAAUUCUUCCAUACAAGUGCUUUAAGAUGUACAUUGUCACUGAAGGAAACCAUACUUUUUUCUUUGCACAGAGUGCAACGAAUAGACUAAAAAACCCAUCUUUACAGGAGCAACGUCAGGCUAGCCAGAGAUUCAAAUAACCUUAUAACUUUAUUUGAAAACUUUAUACAUAUAUAUUACAAAACUUAGUAUCUCUUUGAAAUAUUAACAUAUAAGAAAAGCCAUUUGGGUCAGUAAAUCAAUCUGAGAAAAACAAUGGAAAAAGCACAGUCCAUCUGCAGUGGGGAUAAGCUCUGAGCAGAUGACUCGCAGGGGUGUGGUAUUCAGUUUUCCUACAGC
rnacentral:lncRNA from 1 species